CCUUUAAUGAGAUGCAUAAUCUUAGAUUGCUCAAAAUUUAUGACUCUGGAGUUGGAAAUAACUGCAAAGUGCACAUUCCUUACGGUCUGGGAUCACUUCCUGAUAAGUUGAGGUAUCUCCAUUGGGAUGGAUUCCCUCUGAAAUCUUUGCCAUCUACUUUUCAGCCAGAGAACCUGGUCAAACUUGACCUCUCUUACGGCAAUGUUCAACAACUGUGGGG
rnacentral:misc_RNA from 1 species